rnacentral:rRNA from 1 species
UAUUUUGACUAUACAAAGGUAUUGUAAUAAGGUUUUAAUUGAAUGCUAAAAGAAUGGAAUUACAGGGAAAAGUUUUUUUAAAUUUAAUAAUUGAAGUUAUUUUAAUUUGUGAAGAAACAAUUAUAUAAAUUAAAGACAAGAAGACCCUAAGAAUUUAAGAAUUUUUAUUAAUAUAUUAUAUGUAUAUAUAUAUAUAAAUAAAAUUCUUAGUUGGGGCAACUAAAAAAUAUAUUAAACUUUUUUUUAAAAAAAAUGAUCCAUUAUUAAUGAUAAUAUGAAAAAAAUACUCUAGGGAUAACAGCGUAAUAAUUUUUGAUAGAUCUUAUAGACAAAAUAGUUUGCGACCUCGAUGUUGGAUUAGGAUACUUUUUUAAUGAAGAUGUUAAAAAAAGAAGUUUGUUCAACUUUUAAAUUCCUACUUGAUCU